UGGGGAAUUUUGGACAAUGGGCGAAAGCCUGAUCCAGCAAUGCCGCGUGUGUGAAGAAGGCCUUCGGGUUGUAAAGCACUUUUGUCCGGAAAGAAAUCCUUGGCUCUAAUACAGUCGGGGGAUGACGGUACCGGAAGAAUAAGCACCGGCUAACUACGUGCCAGCAGCCGCGGUAAUACGUAGGGUGCAAGCGUUAAUCGGAAUUACUGGGCGUAAAGCGUGCGCAGGCGGUUUGCUAAGACCGAUGUGAAAUCCCCGGGCUCAACCUGGGAACUGCAUUGGUGACUGGCAGGCUAGAGUAUGGCAGAGGGGGGUAGAAUUCCACGUGUAGCAGUGAAAUGCGUAGAGAUGUGGAGGAAUACCGAUGGCGAAGGCAGCCCCCUGGGCCAAUACUGACGCUCAUGCACGAAAGCGUGGGGAGCAAACAGGAUUAGAUACCCUGGUAGUCCACGCCCUAAACGAUGUCAACUAGUUGUUGGGGAUUCAUUUCCUUAGUAACGUAGCUAACGCGUGAAGUUGACCGCCUGGGGAGUACGGUCGCAAGAUUAAAACUUAAGGAAUUGACGGGGUCAUAGCUGUUU
rnacentral:rRNA from 1 species